rnacentral:tRNA from 1 species
UGCGGGGUAGCGUAGAGGUCAGCGCGGAGGACUCAUAAUCCUCAAGUCGUGGGUUCGAAUCCCAUCCCCGCUUCAA